rnacentral:rRNA from 1 species
CUACGGGUCGCUCCAGUGGGGAAUAUUGCACAAUGGAGGAAACUCUGAUGCAGCAACGCCGCGUGGAGGAUGACACUUUUCGGAGCGUAAACUCCUAUUAUAUAGGAAGAAGAUGACGGUACUAUAUGAAUAAGCGCCGGCUAACUCCGUGCCAGCAGCCGCGGUAAUACGGAGGGCGCAAGCGUUACUCGGAAUCACUGGGCGUAAAGAGCGUGUAGGCGGAUUAAAAAGUCAGAAGUGAAAUCCUAUAGCUUAACUAUAGAACUGCUUCUGAAACUCUUAAUCUAGAAUAUGGGAGAGGUAGAUGGAAUUUCUGGUGUAGGGGUAAAAUCCGUAGAGAUCAGAGGGAAUACCGAUUGCGAAGGCGAUCUACUAGAACAUUAUUGACGCUGAGACGCGAAAGCGUGGGGAGCAAACAGGAUUAGAUACCCCGGUAGUC